rnacentral:piRNA from 1 species
UCCGGCUUCACAGGGGUUCUCUGCAG